rnacentral:misc_RNA from 1 species
GGCUUCUCUGUCCAUUGGAGUAAGGAGAGGUAUCUGUAUUGGAUGGCCUGAGAAAAGCUCAAUGGUCCCUUUUUGAGGCCGUGGCUGGGAGUUUGAAGUUUCACAUAGUGCAGAUUCUGGGACAACACUGACGUCCAUCGACACAACAGAAACCUGAUAUAGAAAACAAAAGGGGUCAUCGCUCCAGUUAACUAUCACUUAAAAGAUAACAACAGUUGAUUGUCCAUAAAAAUUGAAAUCUGUUAUCUGAAAAAUUAGGCAUAAAGUUUAGAUCUAUAAAUAUUCCCUUGGUCCAUUCAAGAAAACAGACUAGCAAGACAGCAGGAUUUAUCUUGAUGAUCAGGAC